rnacentral:rRNA from 1 species
GGGUGAUUAACACGGGGGUAACCUGCCCUUACAUGUGGGAUACCACUUGGAAACAGGGGCUAAUACCGGAUGAGAUCAAGUUUUGCAUGAAGCUUGAUUAAAAGGCCCCGAAAGCUGUGACUAAAGGAUGGACCCGCGGUGCAUUAGCUGGUUGGUAAGGUAACGGCUUAACAAGGAGAUGAUGCAUAGACGAGUUGAGAGACUGACCGGCCACAUUGGGACUGAAACACGGCCCAAACUCCUACGGGAGGCGGCAGAAAGGAAUCUUCCACAAUGGGCCAAAGCCUGAUGGAGCAUCCGCACUGGAGUGAACAAGGUUUUCGGAUCAUAAAGCUCUGUUGUUUGUGAAAAACGAUAGGGGAAGUAACUGGCCUUUCUUUGACGGUAAUCAACCGGAAAGUCACGGCUAACUACGUGCCAGCAGACGCGGUAGUACGUAGGUGGGAAGCGUUGACCGGAUUUAUUGGGCGUCAAGCCAGCGCAUGCUGAAAAAUAAGUCUGAUGUGAAAGCCCUCGACUCAACCGAGGAAUUGCAUCGGAAACUGUAUUUCUUGAGUGCAUAAGAGAACAGUGGAACUCCAUGUGUAUUGGUGGAACGCGUAUGUAUAUGAAAGAACACCACUGGCGAAGGCAACUCUCUGGUCUGUACCUGACGCUGACGCUCGAAAGCAUGAGUAGCAAACGAGAUUAGAUACCCUGGUAGUGCAUGCCUUAACCCAUGAGUGCAAACUGUUGGGAGGUUUCCGCCUCUCAGUGCUGCCGCUAAGACAUUACGCACUCCCCCUGGGGCGUACGACCACGAGGUUGAAACUCAAAGGAAUUGAACGGACGCUCCGCAGAAGCUGUGGACCAUGUAGUU